rnacentral:lncRNA from 1 species
AAAAUAUUCCCCCUUUGAGAGGUAUUCAAAAGAAAAGUACAGAAAAAGCUCAAGAAAAAGAAAAUAUCUAAGCAGAAAAAGAGAAGAAGAGAAAAGAAGAAAAGUAAUACUCUCGAGCUUUGUUAAGACCUCGACCAUUGUACCGAAUCGUAUCAAGUAAUAUAAAACAGUAAGACCAAGUAUCGUAUCCCAAAAGACUCACA